rnacentral:rRNA from 1 species
CAGGCCUAACACAUGCAAGUCGAAGGGGCGUCAGCAAUGGCGUCACUGGCGCACGGGUGCGGAACACGUUUGAAAUCUGCCCUGAACUGGAGGAUAGCCCGCCGAAAGGCGGAUUAAUACUGCAUAUGCCAAUGAGGUGGCAUCACCUAGUUGGGAAAGACGCGAGUCGGUUCGGGAUGAUCAUGCGGCUGAUUAGCUAGUUGGCGGGGUAGUGGCCCACCAAGGCGACGAUCAGUAGGGGACCUGAGAGGGCGAUCCCCCACACUGGUACUGAGACACGGACCAGACUCCUACGGGAGGCAGCAGUAAGGAAUAUUGGUCAAUGGACGCAAGUCUGAACCAGCCAUGCCGCGUGCAGGAAGACGGCCCUACGGGUUGUAAACUGCUUUUGUACCGGAAUAAACCCUUUUACGUGUAAGAGGCUGAAUGUACGGUAAGAAUAAGGAUCGGCUAACUCCGUGCCAGCAGCCGCGGUAAU